UACGUAGGGGGCAAGCGUUGUCCGGAAUUAUUGGGCGUAAAGCGCGCGCAGGCGGUCCUUUAAGUCUGAUGUGAAAGCCCCCGGCUCAACCGGGGAGGGUCAUUGGAAACUGGGAGACUUGAGUGCAGAAGAGGAGAGUGGAAUUCCAUGUGUAGCGGUGAAAUGCGCAGAGAUAUGGAGGAACACCAGUGGCGAAGGCGGCUCUCUGGUCUGUAACUGACGCUGAUGUGCGAAAGCGUGGGGAUCAAACAGGAUUAGA
rnacentral:rRNA from 1 species